rfam:Erinaceus europaeus unplaced genomic scaffold scaffold00039, whole genome shotgun sequence
CAGUGUUACAACUCUUUUAGAAUUUGUCUAGCAGGUCUUCCGGUCUCUACUGGGAGUUCCCAC